rnacentral:rRNA from 1 species
AUUGAACGCUGGCGGCAUGCUUUACACAUGCAAGUCGAACGGUAACAGGCCGCAAGGUGCUGACGAGUGGCGAACGGGGGAGUAAUGCAUCGGAACGUGCCCAGUCGUGGGGGAUAACUACUCGAAAGAGUAGCUAAUAACGCAUACGAUCUAUGGAUGAAAGCGGGGGAGCGUAAGGGCUCGCGCGAUUGGAGAGGCCGAUGUUAGAUUAGGUAGUUGGUGGGGUAAAGGCUCACCAAGCCAACGAUCUGUAGCGGGUCUGAGAGGACGAGCAGCCACACUGGAACUGAGACACGGCCCAGACUCCUACGGGAGGCAGCAGUGGGGAAUUUUGGACAAUGGGCGCAAGCCUGAUCCAGCAAUGCCGCGUGCAGGAAGAAGGCCUUCGGGUUGUAAACUGCUUUUGUGCGGAACGAAACGGCUCUGGUUAAUACCCGGCGCUAAUGACGGUACCGUAAGAAUAAGCACCGGCUAACUACGUG